AGCGAACGCUGGCGGCAGGCUUAACACAUGCAAGUCGAACGCCCCGCAAGGGGAGUGGCGGACGGGUGAGUAACACAUGGGAACGUACCCUUUGGUUCGGGAUAACUUGGGGAAACUCAAGCUAAUACCGGAUAAGCCCUUAUGGGGAAAGGUUUACUGCCGAAGGAUCGGCCCGCGUCUGAUUAGCUAGUUGGUGAGGUAAUGGCUCACCAAGGCGACGAUCAGUAGCUGGUCUGAGAGGAUGAUCAGCCACACUGGGACUGAGACACGGCCCAGACUCCUACGGGAGGCAGCAGUGGGGGAUAUUGGACAAUGGGGGCAACCCUGAUCCAGCCAUGCCGCGUGAGUGAUGAAGGCCUUAGGGUUGUAAAGCUCUUUUACCCGGGACGAUAAUGACUGUACCGGGAGAAUAAGCCCCGGCUAACUUCGUGCCAGCCGCCGCGGUAA
rnacentral:rRNA from 1 species